rnacentral:tRNA from 1 species
GCCCAUGUGGUGAGGCACGCCAAAAUGCAAAUUUGGAGACGUACCCUAACAGGUGCCGGGGCUUCUCCCGUUUCCCUCCAGACGGGAGAAGC